UGCAGGACGCUGGGCUUCCGUGUCCAUCACCAACUCCAGGGGCUUGCUCAAACUCAUGUCCAUCGAAUCAGUGAUGCCAUCCAACCAUCUUAGCCUCUGUCGUCCCCUUCUCCUCUGCCUUCAAUCAAGACUCUCAUAGGCAGAUAUUUUCGAGUGUAAUUAGUGUUCAUAGUUUAUCUAAAAGCUCAUAUCACAUUUAAUUUUUCGUUUUGUUCCUGUUCUUUCGAGGUACUUUCUCGUUGACAAGCUUGUGACAGAUAGAACGAUAUAGCAAUUUUUACCUUAGAACAAACCGAGGCACUAUGAACAUUUUGUGCUUCAUGUUGAUGACUCUUAGACAUGUCUACAGUAGAGGAGCAAAAACAAAACUACUAGAUAUUUCAUAUUGACUAGUUCCCAGUUCACGGGACUCUGACAUUCCCUGAGGUCAAAGUUUUCUUGUAUUGGAAGCAGUUGGGUUUGCAAGGGCUGCCUUGUCUUGAGACCAUUGAAAUAAGAACUCAGAACUUGAGCACUAUUAUCAAAAAUCACAAGGCUCACACUGACACAGACAUCAAUCCAGACAGACAAGACAAGACAUCUUCCAGUUUUCCGCCUGAGAUGGAAAAGAUUUCUUUGAGCCGUUUUUUCUGGGGAGUGGGGGGUGGGGCUGGCGGCCAGGCAGGCUUUGGGAAGGAGCUCAGGGUUUGGAAUUGCAUAUGAAAAGAACCAGCUUUCCGGGUUCCAAGGAAUCAAGUUUCCUUGGAAACCAACUUUGUCCGGUUCUAUAGAAUAUCAUGGCCCUCCUAGGUCAGGUCGUCUUUCCUUUCCGUAGCCCUCGUUGGAUCCCUGAAUUCUAGACAGCUUGGAUUGCCUCUGUGGGCUGGAUGGAUUGUCCUCCCGUUUCACCGGGCGGCGGGAGCGAGGUCCCAGAGGCUCUCCUGGAACCGGGCGUGGGGGCGGGGCUCACCGGGAGCCCGUGGUGAAGAAAAGAUUCCGAAAAAUGAGGGAAACAGGAAGCCCCAGAGGUGCCCCUGUAGUUUGGCGAAGGCUAGGAGGUCACUUGGAAAUGCGCUGGCUGUGAGGGGGGAGGGGGCAGAUGUGCACAGAGCUGUGCAGGCUGUCCUUUGCAUGGAUGUUCUUUGUAGAAAUCCACCUCGGAGCCAUCUCCUGAUGUGUAAGAAUUUCCCAGACCAAACCUUGAGCUAAGCAAUGCGUUUUUUCCUUAGGAAAUGUUGGUCUUCAGCGAUGUUCAAAGCCUGUGUAUUUCCGCUAGACUCUGGCUUCAGGUCGGUUCCCCCAAAAGGCUCCGAAGCGACCUGAACCAAACAGUAAGUUUUCCUCCUACCUUGUUCUCCUCAUCUAGUUAAGAGUAUACUU
rnacentral:lncRNA from 1 species